rnacentral:rRNA from 1 species
UACGUAGGGUGCGAGCGUUAAUCGGAAUUACUGGGCGUAAAGCGUGCGCAGGCGGUUCGUUAAGUCAGAUGUGAAAGCCCCGGGCUCAACCUGGGAACUGCAUUUGAAACUGGCGGGCUUGAGUAUGGCAGAGGGGGGUGGAAUUCCGCGUGUAGCAGUGAAAUGCGUAGAGAUGCGGAGGAACACCGAUGGCGAAGGCAGCCCCCUGGGCCAAUACUGACGCUCAGGCACGGAAGCGUGGGGAGCAAACAGG